rnacentral:rRNA from 1 species
UACGAAGGGUGCUAGCGUUGUUCGGAAUUAUUGGGCGUAAAGCGUACGUAGGCGGCUUGGUAAGUCGAGUGUGAAAGCCCUAAGCUCAACUUAGGAAUUGCAAUCGAAACUGCCUCGCUAGAGUUUGGUGGGGGAUGGCAGAAUUUCUAGUGUAGGGGUGAAAUCCGUAGAUAUUAGAAGGAAUACCAGUGGCGAAGGCGGCCAUCUAUGCCAAUACUGACGCUAAGGUACGAAAGCGUGGGGAGCAAACAGG